rnacentral:rRNA from 1 species
AUCGAACGCUGGCGGCAGGCCUAACACAUGCAAGUCGAACGAGUGGCGGACGGGUGAGUAAUGUAUGGGCAACUGCCUGAUGGAGGGGGCUAACUACUGGAAACGGUAGCUAAUACCGCAUACCAUCGGAUGUGCCCAUAUGGGAUUAGCUAGUAGGUGGGGUAAAGGCUCACCUAGGCGACGAUCCCUAGCUGGGCUGAGAGGAUGAGCAGCCACACUGGAACUGAGACACGGUCCAGACUCCGACGGGAGGCAGCAGUAGGGAAUAUUGCACAAUGGACGAAAGCCUGAUGCAGCCAUGCCGCGUGUAUGAAGAAGGCCUUCGGAUUGUAAAGUGCUGUCAGCGGAGAGGCGUUACCCACAGAAGAAGCACCGGCUAACUCCGUGCCAGCAGCCGCGGUAAUAC